UACGAAGGGGGCUAGCGUUGUUCGGAUUUACUGGGCGUAAAGGGCGCGUAGGCGGUCGUGACAAGUCACUUGUGAAAUCUCCGGGCUUAACUCGGAACGGUCAAGUGAUACUGUCGGACUAGAGUACAGAAGGGGCAACUGGAAUUCCUGGUGUAGCGGUGAAAUGCGCAGAUAUCAGGAGGAACACCGAUGGCGAAGGCAGGUCUCUGGGCCACUACUGACGCUGAGAAGCGAAAGCAUGGGGGAGCGAACAGG
rnacentral:rRNA from 1 species